rnacentral:rRNA from 1 species
CCUACGGGAGGCAGCAGUGGGGAAUAUUGGACAAUGGGUGAGAGCCUGAUCCAGCCAUCCCGCGUGAAGGACGACGGCCCUAUGGGUUGUAAACUUCUUUUGUAUAGGGAUAAACCUACUCUCGUGAGAGUAGCUGAAGGUACUAUACGAAUAAGCACCGGCUAACUCCGUGCCAGCAGCCGCGGUAAU